UACGGGGGGGGCAAGCGUUGUUCGGAAUUACUGGGCGUAAAGGGCUCGUAGGCGGCCAACUAAGUCAGACGUGAAAUCCCUCGGCUUAACCGGGGAACUGCGUCUGAUACUGGAUGGCUUGAAUCCGGGAGAGGGAUGCGGAAUUCCAGGUGUAGCGGUGAAAUGCGUAGAUAUCUGGAGGAACACCGGUGGCGAAGGCGGCAUCCUGGACCGGCAUUGACGCUGAGGAGCGAAAGCCAAGGGAGCAAACGGG
rnacentral:rRNA from 1 species